UUUCCCUACGGGGGGCAGCAGUGGGGAAUAUUGGUCAAUGGACGAGAGUCUGAACCAGCCAAGUAGCGUGAAGGAUGACUGCCCUAUGGGUUGUAAACUUCUUUUAUAUGGGAAUAAAACAGGGUAUGCAUACCCUCUUGUAUGUACCAUAAGAAUAAGGAUCGGCUAACUCCGUGCCAGCAGCCGCGGCAAUACGGAGGAUCCGAGCGUUAUCCGGAUUUAUUGGGUUUAAGGGGAGCGUAGGUGGAUUGUUAA
rnacentral:rRNA from 1 species